CGUCUAUAUACGUAUAGCAUAUCAAUAAGCGGAGGAAAAGAAACUAACUAGGAUUCCCUCAGUAACGGCGAGUGAAGCGGGAAGAGCUCAAAUUUGAAAUCUUCAAGGUUCUACCUUGACGAAUUGUAGUUUAAAGAAGUGUUUUCUGUUGGAGUUUUGGUAAAAGUUCUUUGGAAUAGGACAUCAUAGAGGGUGAGAAUCCCGUAUUUGACCAUUAUUUCCAACUUUGUGAUACACUUUCAAAGAGUCGGAUUGUUUGGGAAUGCAGUCCAAAAUGGGUGGUAAAUUUCAUCUAAAGCUAAAUACUGGCGAGAGACCGAUAGCGAACAAGUACCGUGAGGGAAAGAUGAAAAGAACUUUGAAAAGAGAGUUAAACAGUACGUGAAAUUGUCAAAAGGGAAGCGUUUGACACCAGGUGCUGUUUUCUCGAAAAUCAAUUAAAAAUGGUGGGAUUCUGUGUUGUAUUGACUUUAUCAGCUUUCUGCACUUUUUUCCUGAUCUUUUUUAAUGCACUUUUCGUUUAACAAGUCAACAUCCAAUUUCUUUUGUUGUAAAAGGGUCAUUGGAAGGUGGCUUUCUUUUCGGAGAAAGUGUUUAUAGGCCUUUGACUUCUGCAAUCGGAGAGAUUGAGGUCUGCAGCGUAGAUCCUUCGGGGUUAGAUACAUUUGUGCUAAGUUAUAGCCUUUCAUAGACAACUUGUUGACUAUGAUCAGUCAUGUAGCUUACUCGCUUAUGUUAUUUUACCUACGCUUAGGAUGUUGACGAUCAGCUGAGCGCG
rnacentral:rRNA from 1 species